rnacentral:rRNA from 1 species
AUUGAACGCUGGCGGCAGGCCUAACACAUGCAAGUCGAGCGAGCGGCGGACGGGUGAGUAAUGUCUGGGAAACUGCCCGAUAGAGGGGGAUAACUACUGGAAACGGUAGCUAAUACCGCAUACUAUCGGAUGAACCCAUAUGGGAUUAGCUAGUUGGUGGGGUAAUGGCUCACCAAGGCGACGAUCCCUAGCUGGUCUGAGAGGAUGACCAGCCACACUGGGACUGAGACACGGCCCAGACUCCUACGGGAGGCAGCAGUGGGGAAUAUUGCACAAUGGGCGCAAGCCUGAUGCAGCCAUGCCGCGUGUAUGAAGAAGGCCUUCGGGUUGUAAAGUACUUUCAGCGGGGAGGCGUUACCCGCAGAAGAAGCACCGGCUAACUCCGUGCCAGCAGCCGCGGUAAUAC